GAUCUGAAGCCAGAGACAAGGAGCUUCUUCCAGGUAUCCAACACAGAUGCAGGGCCCCAUGGUUUAGGGCUAUCCUAUACUGCUUUCCCAGGCCACAAACUGGGAGCUGUUGGAAAGUAGAGCAGUUAGGAC